UUCUUCCUUUUUCCGUUGGUUCACCUUCCAAUGGCCGCUGCGGCCAGCACUGUGCCGAUUGGAAGCCAGGAGCCAGGUGCUUCUCCUGGUCUCCCUGCGGGUGCAGGGCCCAAGGACCUGGGCCAUCCUCCACUGCACUCCCGGGCCACAGCAGAGAGCUGGACUAGAAGAGGAGCAACUGGGACAGAAUCCGGCUCCCCGACUGCGACUAGAACCCGGUGUGCCGGCGCCGCAUAGUUCAGGUGGCCUUUUUUUUCAAGGAUUGAACACUGAACCAUGACAUUGCUUUCUGUGAACAGGAGGUCCAUCAAGUUCAAGGCCAUUUUAUAAGUGAUGACACCAGCACCAAGUCCUUCCCUAGGGAACCGAGGGUCCUGUACUAUAACCACGCAGAUAACAGCUUGAUGUUGGGUCUCGUCUGUAGGAGUUGCUUUUCCGGGAACUCCAGGCUCUGAACAAAAAGUAAUGAGCACUUGCAGAGAGCUAACUGGAGCCCACUUUGACAUCAGCAAAAGAACACCGAAUGGCGAGCCAGUCGGAGGCGGGCCAUGAGCACGGUAGACCAACCCGGGACCUGGAACAUCCCAGCAUCCGUCUGUGAGAUCCCACUCCUAACCCCUCGGGGAAUACUUACUCUCCUCCACCUCUCCAGUGUCGGCGAUUGGCUUGCUGUGCAUCAGGGGAGCAGACCUAGGCUGGAGGUGUCUAUAGCAAAUCCUCCAGCUGGUCUCGGGGGUGUUCUAGGGCAUUCUGAAUGGAGGGUGAUUUUACCUUCCAAGGAGCAUUUGGAAAAGUCUGGAGACAUAUUUGGUUGUCACAACUGGGGACCGUGCUACCGGCCUCUUGUAGGCAGUGGGUGCCGCUGACCCGCCUACAUCUCACAGGGGGCUCCCCGGCAGCAAAAAUCACCCCGCCCAAAAUGUCAGUAGUGCUAAAGUUAAAAAAAAAAUCCUGCCCUAAAUUAACGCCAUACUUUCCUUCCCCUAGUCCCACUCUCCACCCUCCCGCCUCGCCUCCAUCUUCAAUGUAACCAUAGCGUUGAACAAAUUGAAUGCCUCCCAUGCCAUUGUACAAUUUCAAAUUAAACUUAUGAUAAUGCUUUGGUCUUUUCACCAUAAUUAAGAUGCAGCCGACACUCCCCCGUCUACUGCACACCAGGCAACUUGUGUGCUGGUGUCCUUUCUUAUCUUGCUUCGUUCAUUCUCAUCAGAUGGUGACAGAACCCUUACCAUGUGCCAGGUCCACGACUAUGGGGAAAGAGCUGCUGGCCCCAUUCGUGCCGACAAGGGAGCUGAGGCUCAGAGAGGUUAAGUGAUGUGGCCCAAGUCACACAGCUCACAUAACCGGGUGCCAGUCAGACUUGGAGGCCAGGGCUCUUUGUGGUGUGUCAGGGUACUGCUGCCUGUGCUAAGUGAAGACACCAUCACCCUUCGCUGUGCUGGGACUGGUGGGCACCUCAUGGAGGCUGGCACUGCGCAUCAGCCACUGUGGGGACAACAGGGGCAGAGUUGAGGAGGCGGCACCACCAUGGCAGGGAGAGGACUAGAACCCCAAUGUUCCAAGUCCCCACCCAGGUGCUCUGCAGGCCUCCCAGAGAGAGUGAAUGGGUUUUGAUGGGGAUAAUAGUCUCUCCAAAUACACUCACUGCUAGUCUUUCCUAUUGAGCAAUUCAGCUUUCAACUGCUCGGGACAUUAGACCAAAGGAUGGGUGUUUUGUCUUCUUUUUUCCCCUGCCUUUUUCUUUUUGAGGGAAAGCAAUUUGCUCCUUUCUGAUUUAGAAUGAGAUCUGGCAAGUAAGGGCUUGUUCUCCCACUCCCUCCCCACCCUGUAGUUAAAGAAAAAAAAAAACCAUCUCGGGGAGAGCGCGAGGGAGAAAUAAGCACACCGGAUCCAUGCUAAGCAAAACCAUUUGCAUAAGCCGUACACUGGGUUCUCAGAGCCUGGGCUCAUCUAACCUAUGACAAAUUCCUCCGUCUCGGCUACCUGCCAGCUACGUUUUCAUCGGGGCUGGCAAGGCAACUGAAGUCUACAUUCUGUACUAAUUAACAACCUUCAGGGGAGAAGACCACCAAUUGCAAUGCCAGCACACUUCGCUUGUUAAAGGGGA